CAAGCGAACAAGUGCAUGUGGUGGAUGCCUUGGCGAUCACAGGCGAUGAAGGACGCGGUAGCCUGCGAAAAGCUACGGGGAGCUGGCAAACAAGCUUUGAUCCGUAGAUGUCCGAAUGGGGAAACCCACUCCUUUUGGAGUAUCCAUGGCUGAAUACAUAGGCCAUGUGAAGCGAACGCGGUGAACUGAAACAUCUAAGUAACCGCAGGAAAAGAAAUCAACCGAGAUUCCCAAAGUAGUGGCGAGCGAAAUGGGAUGAGCCUUGCACUCUUUAUUUGUAUUGUUAGCCGAACGCUCUGGAAAGUGCGGCCAUAGCAGGUGAUAGCCCUGUAGGCGAAAACAGUAUGAAAGAACUAGGUGUGCGACAAGUAGGGCGGGACACGUGAAAUCCUGUCUGAAGAUGGGGGACCAUCCUCCAAGGCUAAAUACUCGUGAUCGACCGAUAGUGAACCAGUACCGUGAGGGAAAGGCGAAAAGAACCCCGGGAGGGGAGUGAAAUAGAUCCUGAAACCGCAUGCAUACAAACAGUCGGAGCCUCGUAAGGGGUGACGGCGUACCUUUUGUAUAAUGGGUCAGCGACUUACGUUCAGUAGCAAGCUUAACCGUAUAGGGCAGGCGUAGCGAAAGCGAGUCCGAAUAGGGCGUUCAGUUGCUGGGCGUAGACCCGAAACCAGGUGAUCUAUCCAUGGCCAGGAUGAAGGUGCGGUAACACGUACUGGAGGUCCGAACCCACUAACGUUGAAAAGUUAGGGGAUGAGCUGUGGAUAGGGGUGAAAGGCUAAACAAACCUGGAAAUAGCUGGUUCUCUCCGAAAACUAUUUAGGUAGUGCCUCGUGUCUCACCUUCGGGGGUAGAGCACUGUCAUGGUUGGGGGGUCUAUUGCAGAUUACCCCGCCAUAGCAAACUCCGAAUACCGAAGAGUGCAAUCACGGGAGACAGACAUCGGGUGCUAACGUCCGGUGUCAAGAGGGAAACAACCCAGACCGCCAGCUAAGGUCCCCAAAUAUAGCUAAGUGGGAAACGAAGUGGGAAGGCUAAAACAGUCAGGAGGUUGGCUUAGAAGCAGCCACCCUUUAAAGAAAGCGUAAUAGCUCACUGAUCGAGUCGUCCUGCGCGGAAGAUGUAACGGGGCUAAGCUAUAUACCGAAGCUGCGGAUGCGAGCUUGCUCGCAUGGUAGGAGAGCGUUCCGUAAGCCUGCGAAGGUGCCUUGUAAAGGGUGCUGGAGGUAUCGGAAGUGCGAAUGCUGACAUGAGUAGCGAUAAAGGGGGUGAAAGGCCCCCUCGCCGUAAGCCCAAGGUUUCCUACGCAACGUUCAUCGGCGUAGGGUGAGUCGGCCCCUAAGGCGAGGCAGAAAUGCGUAGCUGAUGGGAAGCAGGUCAAUAUUCCUGCACCAUUGUUAGAUGCGAUGGGGGGACGGAUCGCGGAAGGUUGUCCGGGUGUUGGAAGUCCCGGUCGCUGCAUUGGAGAAGGCGCUUAGGCAAAUCCGGGCGCAGGAUUCAAGGGUGUGGCGCGAGCUCCCUAGGGAGCGAAGCAAUUGGAAGUGGUUCCAAGAAAAGCCUCUAAGCUUCAGUCUAACGAUGACCGUACCGCAAACCGACACAGGUGGGCGAGAUGAGUAUUCUAAGGCGCUUGAGAGAACUCGGGAGAAGGAACUCGGCAAAUUGGUACCGUAACUUCGGGAUAAGGUACGCCCUUGUAGCUUGACCAGCCUGCGCUGGAAGGGUGAAGGGGUUGCAAUAAACUGGUGGCUGCGACUGUUUAAUAAAAACACAGCACUCUGCAAACACGAAAGUGGACGUAUAGGGUGUGACGCCUGCCCGGUGCCGGAAGAUUAAAUGAUGGGGUGCAAGCUCUUGAUUGAAGUCCCGGUAAACGGCGGCCGUAACUAUAACGGUCCUAAGGUAGCGAAAUUCCUUGUCGGGUAAGUUCCGACCUGCACGAAUGGCGUAACGAUGGCCACACUGUCUCCUCCCGAGACUCAGCGAAGUUGAAGUGUUUGUGAUGAUGCAAUCUACCCGCGGCUAGACGGAAAGACCCCAUGAACCUUUACUGUAGCUUUGCAUUGGACUUUGAACCGAUCUGUGUAGGAUAGGUGGGAGGCUAUGAAACCGGAACGCUAGUUUCGGUGGAGCCGUCCUUGAAAUACCACCCUGGUUUGUUUGAGGUUCUAACCUUGGCCCGUGAUCCGGGUCGGGGACAGUGCAUGGUAGGCAGUUUGACUGGGGCGGUCUCCUCCCAAAGCGUAACGGAGGAGUACGAAGGUACGCUAGGUACGGUCGGAAAUCGUGCUGAUAGUGCAAUGGCAUAAGCGUGCUUAACUGCGAGACCGACAAGUCGAGCAGGUGCGAAAGCAGGUCAUAGUGAUCCGGUGGUUCUGUAUGGAAGGGCCAUCGCUCAACGGAUAAAAGGUACUCUGGGGAUAACAGGCUGAUACCGCCCAAGAGUUCAUAUCGACGGCGGUGUUUGGCACCUCGAUGUCGGCUCAUCUCAUCCUGGGGCUGUAGCCGGUCCCAAGGGUAUGGCUGUUCGCCAUUUAAAGAGGUACGUGAGCUGGGUUUAAAACGUCGUGAGACAGUUUGGUCCCUAUCUGCCGUGGGCGUUGGAUAUUUGAAGGGGGCUGCUCCUAGUACGAGAGGACCGGAGUGGACGAACCUCUGGUGUACCGGUUGUCACGCCAGUGGCAUCGCCGGGUAGCUAUGUUCGGAAGAGAUAACCGCUGAAAGCAUCUAAGCGGGAAACUCGCCUUAAGAUGAGAUAUCCCUGGGGACUAGAUCCCCUUGAAGGGUCGUUCGAGACCAGGACGUUGAUAGGUCAGGUGUGUAAGCGCAGUAAUGCGUUCAGCUAACUGAUACUAAUUGCCCGUAAGGCUUGAUCC
rnacentral:rRNA from 1 species